rnacentral:rRNA from 1 species
UACAGAGGUCCCAAGCGUUGUUCGGAUUCACUGGGCGUAAAGGGUGCGUAGGCGGUCGGGUAAGUCUGGUGUGAAAUCUCACAGCUUAACUGUGAAACUGCAUUGGAUACUAUCCGACUCGAGGAAUGGAGGGGAGACUGGAAUUCUCGGUGUAGCAGUGAAAUGCGUAGAUAUCGAGAGGAACACCAGUGGCGAAGGCGAGUCUCUGGACAUUUCCUGACGCUGAGGCACGAAAGCCAGGGGAGCAAACGGG